AUUGAACGCUGGCGGCAUGCUUUACACAUGCAAGUCGGACGAGUGGCGAACGGGUGAGUAACGCAUCGGAACGUACCGAGUAAUGGGGGAUAACUGUCCGAAAGGACAGCUAAUACCGCAUAUUAUUCGAGCGGCCGAUGUCUUAUUAGCUGGUUGGCGGGGUAAAGGCCCACAAAGGCGACGAUCAGUAGCGGGUCUGAGAGGAUGAUCCGCAACACUGGGACUGAGACACGGCCCAGACUCCUACGAGAGGCAGCAGUGGGGAAGUUUGCACAAUGGGCGCAAUCCGGAUGCAGCGCUGACGCGUGUGUGAAGAAGGCCUUCGGGUUGUAAAGCAUUUUCAGCUGGGAGGCGGUACCCGCAGAAGAAGCACCGGCUAACUCCGUGCCAGCAGCCGCGGUAAUAC
rnacentral:rRNA from 1 species